GGGGUCACCUCUGGACCCAGCGCGACAUAUCGCUUCCCAGCCACCCCCACAUACACACCCCGUCUUCGCUCCCUCCGAAUGGGUUAUCACAACUGUGUACAAACUGAUAUGGUCCGUCGCCGGCAAAGGGGCUGGAAAUAAACGUCGCGGGGUUAUCAGCGCCGAUCUGUCAUCAGCGACUCGCGCGGCCGCGGGUUCGGCCUCGGCAGGAGCUCUGAUAUCGAGCCUCGCUCCCUUUCGCUCACAAGGAGAAUUUCUUCCGACAGACGUGACCCCAGAAGGCUCGUGAGAAUUUUAACCAGGGCAGGAGGAGUUGUGUGGGAAUGGAUUUUUACACUUUUCCCCCCAGGUAAAUCGAAGUAAAUGAUUUUCUAAAGCUUGUUAUCUGGGCCACCCAAUGACCGACGAAAGAUUUUCCUUCCCUGCUUCUCCCGAGGCCGCUUUAAACCAAAUAAAUUUAGCUAUUAAGGGCCGAGAUGUCUGACAAAAGAUGGAAAGGUGUCUUUCCGCGAUCGCUUGGACAAGAGAAGGAGAAGCGGGUGGCUCCCGGAUCCCGAUAAAGACAUUCCACGCCGGCGCCGGCCUCCCUCCCCGCGGCCUGGGCGCACCCUGACAUCCUGAGACCUCACUUCAGCGGCCCGGACCUCGGCUGCGCCGGUGGGACCUGCGGCCUCGGCACCCGGAAUGUGCAGGUCCUGGGCCGCCGGACCUGGGAGUGCCAGGCCCUGGGGGUCCCGGAUCCGGGGAACUCCAGGCGGGAGCUGGGCUCCCAAAGCAGCCCCUUGCACAUCGCAGAGAAACCAAACCGAGCUCAGCGGGGCCUAAAUUCCCAUCCCAUCUUUAUUACUGUCUGAUGCUGGAUACUGCAAAGCCAGCCCACCUCUACCUUCCCACCCUCGCUCCCUGCGGCUUUGCUGCGGGGCCGUGUUACUCCACGUCUCUGGUCCUGGGGAGCAGACCUUUUGAACCCCAGUCAGAACACGGUGGCUGGAACCUGGCAGCUGGAUUAGACCCAAGCUAAUGGGAGGGUGUGGACUGGCAGGCUAACAGCAUGCAGGUGGGAGGCAGAGGUCCAAUGAUUCAGUCAUCCUCAGGUUGGGUUGGGUUAUGAAGUGUGGUAUUUAUUAUCAUUAUUAAUUACUACUGGCAUCACUACACAAAGCCUGGGGCUGCCAGCUGGGCCCAGGCCCUGCCCUUAGGGUGAUCCCUUCCUUUUUGCCAAAGGUGAAGCGAGGAAUAUUCAGUUUCCUGAUCCUGAAAAGUGGGCUUGGGGAGUAUGAUGCCAUGUUUUCGAGUCUUCCCCUGAGGCCUGAAUCGGCCUUUUCUACCGCUUUUAAAAGGCUGGGGCUGGCACACGGGACCCCUUGACUUGCCUGCAGUGGGGCUUCUUCGCAUGUCUUCUGCCUUCCCCUCUCUGUUCUCUGUCCAAGUUGGAGACAAGGCUCUGAAUUCCAAAAGUCAGUCCAGCAUCUUCAGCUUCUGUCUGUCACCUCAUGCUGGGCCCCAGAAUUAGCUGCCUCUCUUUUUUCCUCUCCCCAUCCAAAUAAGGUGAACUCCGAAAUCUAAUGCUUACUUCUCGCCCAGCCUCCGGGGAAAGGGAAAAAUCAGAUCAUCAGAGAGAAAGAGAUCAUUUCUACACCCAAGAAGGUGAAAGAAAUGCAGAAAGUUCCAAAGCCCCAAACCAUGGGCUUUCCCUGGAUUUUGCUGGUAUUAAGUGUGAGGGCAAUGCCAAUUCCAGGGUCAGGGUCCAGGUGCCACUGCCCCAGAGCUGUCUCAGGUCAGAGGCCUUUCUGACUGUGUGUUGUUGUGUCUCCCCCGCCCCCGCAGGGGGAGGGUGUUAAGGGGUAGCAGAAAAAGGAGGUAAUAGGCUUUUGAAGAUUUGCUAAGUAACUAACGUUUCUCCUUGAAUCAAUUAAAGAAAAAGAAAAAAGUGCCCAAGAAAUAAAAACAAUUACCGCAUUUGCCACCCAGAAAUAUGACCUCUCCACUUAGCUAUGCUGCAAAUAUGCAGAGAAUUAUGACCAAGGGGUUGUCUACCCAGGGUCCUGCACUUGCCCAACCGUACGCACUGCAAAAAGAAAAAUUAGAGUUGGCCUCUAGUUUUGAAGUGUUUACAGUCUAGAAGAUUGGCACUUCUGUAGCGCUGGCGAGGCCAAGUACCACAGGGAAUUUCCAAGAUGGAGGGAGAUGUCUGAGCCUUUUUCCUUCUCAAGUGAAAUACUCAGGCUCAGAUUUUCCUCUAGGCUUCGGGGUUGAUUUGGAAAGAAGGGAGUCGCUCUAGCUCACACACUGAGAGACUUUCUAGAAGCCCAGACUCUGGGCCAGGCUGCUUGGGUUUGAAUGCUCUCCCUACCACUUACUAGCUGUGUGACCAGGACAAGUCGCCUAACCUCUCUGUGUCUCAGUUUCCUCAUCUGUAAAAUGCGGAUGAUAAAAGUACCUCCAAUACAGGAUUGUUGAGAAGAUUAAAAUGUUUCUUUUAUGUAAAGUGCUAAUAGUACUUGGCACAUAGUAAGCACUAAAGAAAAGUGAACGGUUAUUACCAAUACCUACAGCAUAAUAGAUUCAUGUAUACUCCACCAAAUUUUAAUUCUUGUCCUAACUAUCCCCUGAAGCUAAAUUAAUUCCCAGGAAAGAGUGUCUUGGAGACUGCUGUUCACCAGAGGCCUCAGGCCUUUCCUACGUACCAGCAGUGAGGACUUUAUUUAUUGCAUUAUGGUCGGAAAGGGGGGAGGAGGGAGGUGAAGCAAAAAGGUCCUUUACUUGCUUUUGAUUCCUUUGAAGAGGAAACAUUCCUUGUUGUUCCCCUUGCAAAUGCCAGCAACCGACCAACGUCUUCUGCAGGACAGAGAUAGUAAUCUCAAGGCUCAUCCUCUGCUCCAGGAAAGCAGCACCCUCUCCCUGGAACUCCUUUUGGGCAGUAGAUAGGAGUGACUUAACAGAUGGGGCCAAGAAGGAGGGAGAUGUGAGGACUGGCAUUAGAUAUCAGGAAGAAAAAAGAACUGACUGAAUUGACCUGGUCAGCUAGCUACACUUCUCUCAUGCUUUAAACCUUUCAAUUUGGUAUUGAGAUUAUAUAUAUAUAUGACUUAUUCUACUUUAAUUACAUUGUUGUUAUGGAAUAAAAAAAUAUGUCUGAUGAGCUAUGGAACACAUUAUUUUUUUCCAGUUUUUUUUUCUGAAAAUGGACCACACUAUUGACAGAGGAAAAUCUAGGCCAUUCCAGACAUUUUCCAACUGAUUUUCUUUCAGUUUUAUUUUUUCCCCUUAUAGUGCCCUCUCUUCCAAAACAAGACCUAAACCUCACUCAGGAAAACUUAAAAAAGAAAUCUGUGGUAUAUAACAAAGAAUACUGUUCUCUAGAUAAAAACGACAGAGAGAGAUUUGUUUUUCAAAAGGCAAAGUCUGGAGAGAACAUAAAAGUCUUCCCCUCCCUGCCGGUUUUCAGCCGGGUUUGUGCCCAGCGCCUGUUUUUCUCUUGUCUCUGACAGUCCUGAUCUUCUCUAUGUUUGAUUUACUGAGUGCUGUCAUUUCUCUGCUCUUUACUUUCACAAUCACACAUUUAAACCUGAUAAAGUUCAAGACCCUGAAUGCUUGCAGCUUUCCCAGAUUUACAGUCCUCCUGCCCCCCACCCCGGCCAGCGGUCUGGGGCUGAUUGAAUCCUCAUGCACUAAAGCCGUGGGGGAUCAGCAGAGAGCCAGCGGGUCCACGAGGGUUGGGUCCACGGGGACCGUUAGCUCCAUGUCAGCUCUUUUAGCUAAAGGAAACCUUGGUAGCUUCCUUCUCCUAGAAAGUGACUGUCAGCAACAUCCUCUCACUUUAGAUUCAACUUCCAGGUUGUAACCUACCUAUAGGCAGGUACAGGAACUGUAACUUGCAGAAUUUAGAAUUGGUGAGAAUUGGAUGUGAAACCAGGAUUACCUGGAAUGAGUACCCGAUUUUCCUGGAUCUACUAAACAGCUUUGUGAUUGAGGGCAAGCCACUUAAUCACAGUGCCUCAGUUAUGCCAUCUGUAAAAUGGUAGAAAUAUGACUCACUACAAACAUUCUUCCUGUGUGUAGCUGUCAGGGCCCCAGGAAGACCACUCAUAUAUGUCUUAACUGGCUCUUUGGACUCUGUCAGGUAAAAUGGAAACCUGUGAGCUAAUCUAAAUACUAUACCAAUUGGGCUAGCCAAAAGGAGUGAUUUCUCUCCAAAGACUGAACAGUUAGCUUAGGCUCAAGUUUUCAGACCACUGAAAUGUCUUCUGAUAGAAGAUGCUACCUAAAUAAUCUAUUCUUUACAUGUAACUACAUAAUAAAUCAACUAAAUCACAGAACACUGAUGAAAAGCAAUCACUGACUAUGGAUGCCCUUGUUUCAAAUAUAAUUACUAUCUGGAGACUUUAUUUUUAAAAUAAGUAAUUAUUUUACAUAUUUAAUGUUUUUCUUUAUCAAGAACUUUCUGAGUAAGGUAAACGUUUUAGGUAGCAGCAGUUUAAAUAGGUCUUUAAAGACCAAUCACUGUUCCAAGUCCAUGAACUAAAAAGGUGUGGUUUAAUUUUCCCCUUUAAAAUAUACAUCCUAAAGAAAGCUAAACUGUCAUAAUAUCUAAGGGGAAAAUUAUAUUUACUUGUUCUGUUAGCGAAGGAAGGAAGCAGAAGGAAGCCUACCUUCUUCAAAAGGCAUUAUUUUUUUAAAUCUAUCCAGUCAGGCAACACCUACUAGAAUAUAUUUCAUGAUGUUGCUUUUUCCUGACCGUAACAAUACUCACCUCUACGGAGGUGAAUAAAAAUAGAAACUUGACUUAAUGGAUAUCAAAUAACUUUCUCUGGCUUCUCCUGAGCCAGAUUAUUGCUCUGUUUAUAAUACCACAAAUUAAAGACAUGCAAUUAUCCAACAAAAACAGUAUGGAUAUUAAACUAUUUUUAAAGACUGACUACUACAAAGUCUUACCAGCAGACUAGCCAAAACCACAGUGUGGAUCCACAAUUAAAGCUGUCAACCGCUGCAUUUCAAAGGUAUCUUUCUAUAGAGAGCUCUGCAUGCUUUGGGCAGAAGCAGAAAAGGCUAGGUGAAUGGGGGAAAGCCUACCAAGGUUUGAGCUGGUGGGCCCUCAACAGAAUCUGUCUACAACCCCCCAACACUGCAGCUAGAUUAAGUACUCUGUGGAGGUUUGGGUUCAAAUCCCAGCCAUGCAGCUUGCUCUCUCUCUCUGGCUGUGUGCCCUUAUGCACGUUCCUUAAUAUCUCUACUUACCACUUCCUCAUCUGUAAAAAGGGAGUGAUGAUAACAGUAGAUACCUCAAAGAAUAGUUAUGAAGGUUAAAUGAGUUAAUAUUUACAAAGUGCUUAGAAGAAUGCCUGGCUCAACAAACAGGCUAUUGGAACUGUUUAAUAAAUAAGUAAAAACAUAAACUGCUAUUUCAGGCCACCUCAUAAGGGGAAGAGAGAUGAGAGGAAGAGAGAGCAUACCAAGGCCUCAAAAAAGGUAGGAAGUGAUCAAAGGCAUAAAUGGGGGAGGGGAGAGCCUUUGAGAAUGUCAGACAUUUCCUACUGGAGAUUAUUUAACAACAUAAACUCCUCACCCUUUCUAUAUAUAGUACCCUCCAAUGUGCUGUUUUCACAAUGAUAAAUGUGCCAAUAAGUUGAUGUGUGAAUGGAUUCGUAGGCUUUUGCCCAGCAUAUCGUGUUUAUAGAGAGGUAAAAGUGAAGAUUGCAGAGGCAGUAAAACUCUUUCAAGGCACAAAUAUUUGAAUGUCUAAUGAAUGUAAAAGGUUUUUCUUUCUGAUAGAGUCAGCACACUUUCUCCCUUGAGGAAGCACCACAUGAUGGUUAGAACUUGGUCAGGGGGUGCACCACCCAUUCUGUCCUCAUGAGCGCCCCAACUUGCACCCACAGUCACAACUGGUGUGACUCUACUGACCACAAACCCAUCACAAAAUUAGCGAAGGCUGUCAUCUGUAUCUCCAUCACACAAUGGUCCCCUUCUAUCUCCACCCACCCCACCACACUCCCCCAAUCACGGCUGCCCUCCUCGUGCUCAGGCAGCACUGUGGUCAGUAAGACAUGUGGUGGAUGAUAGGUGGCUCAUCUUUACUGUGUCCCUGUACUUUACUGUGAACACGUCUCCUUCAUCUUUGUGUCCCCACUGACACACACCAUCUCUAGCACUAGCACUCACUAAAUGCUUGUUGAAUGUGAAAAUAUUGAAAGUUUUCAGAUACAAUGCUCCAAGCCCAAAGCAUGAAUUCCAGCAAUGAUACUUCAUAGGGAUUUUGUGAUCAAUAAACAGUCCUAAUACAAAAAAAUCUUGACUGUGGCCUGUGGCCCUUAUAUGCUUGGUCCUUAAAAGAGAUAUCACGAGGCUAUUUUACAGCAGGCAUUGUUCCUUUACUUCCCAGAUUUUUUCUCAGUUUUGAUGGACUUUAUAUUUCACUAUGUUCCACUUCCUCCAACUUCAAAAUGCUUUCCACAUUUUUUCUCCUAAUUCAUCCACCUAAGAAUAUUAUAUUAUCUGUAUUCAGAAUUCUGUAUUAGCCAAUACUUUAUUAAGCCUAUUAGAAAGAAUACUUUAAAAGAAGAUUUAAUGGUGAACAGUAAAAAUCAGCAAGACGUAUUAAAUGUUAGCAGCAAAAAAAUAAAAAUAAAUGUUAGCAACAUCUUUAAGACCAUGAACAUAAAGCAGAGCAGUAACUUCCAUUUUCAGUGCUUGGUGCAUGUACCUCUUUUGUUUCCAUCAUUCCAAUAUUGAGGAACAGAUUUCAGUCUUGAGAGCAACUGCCUUUUGCCAUUAGAUAUAACAAAAGAACAGAUUUAUGGCUGGCACCUACCAAAAAUAAAAUAGGAUAAGGUCACACCGCAAAAGAGAAAAGAGGGUCACCUUUGAAGGGGUCAUUCAAAUAAAAUGUCAAAUUCCUUUAAUUUUUACUGUACUCAAUUUAAGAAUACUUCCAAUUACAUGUUGUUUGAGGAAGUUCAAAUUUAUUUUCAUUGGUGAAGACAUGCCUAGUGUGAGAACUGGUGCCCGAGCUGAAGAAAACCACCCAGCCUUCAUGGCAUGGCUCCUCCCUCCUGGGAAGCCCCCUAAUAUAUGAGAAAUAGGGCAAGAACUGCAAAGGAAACUAAUUUUAAACUCUCCUACAACACUACACAAGAAUAUUGGCCUACAGAAUGCUUUUUUAAAGGAUAGCCAUCAUAAAAUAUUCUACCUGAUUAGAUGCACCCCAAAUACAUUCAUAGCGAAGUCCCACACCCUCAUCAGUUCAACUGUCCUUCUUCUGUCCUACAAUACCAAGAGCAGAUGCUUGUAUUAUAUUUUCUCUUGAUUGCUUCAUCUGUCACACUGAUACAGGGACUGCGGGCUGCAGAUGAAGGAGAGGUGACAUAAUUGUCCCUCACUUCCUCCCUCCAUGCACCAAUUCAGGGGCUCACUGAAAAGGCAUAACCCUGGACCCUGGACAUAGCCCUACGUAAGUCCCUCAGGGAAGAGAAGCAACUGUUCUGUCACUUACAAAGCAACGCCUGGCCACAUCACAAGGGUCCCAGGGAGACUUCUUUGUAGAUAACCAUACAAUAAGGAAGAAAAGGGCAGAGAAUGGGAGUGAUAUGUCAGGAAGAUCUAUUCCAAUUGACAUCCUCUAAGACUCAAUAAGGAAAAAUGAAAUCAAGAUAUACAGAGAAAACCCAAGGCAACCAGUUGUCUUUGGUCCCUUGUUCCCAUACCCAGUGCUGUGUAACAAACAGGUACUCCCAUCAUGCUACCCCACAUUAAAUCCUUCCCUUCCUGCCUCUCCCAGCAGCCCACCCCAAACAGUGACCACAGGGUCUGAUCUAAGCUAGUGUGUUCCUGGGAGUUAAUGGCCUAAUAACCAACCCUUCAGGGUAACAUAUUGUUUCACUGGGGACGUUGUGUAGUGACGUUUUUUAAAGGAGUGAUUGGUGGAAUUUCAGAUUUCUUAGCAGUCUAGUGGGAGAGAUUUGGCAAGAGGGGAUAGGGAGAAUCUCCAAGGAAUACAUAAUUCCUAACAGGUAAAUCACCUGCCAUACCUCUAGGUAAGGUAGGUUUCGCCUAAUCAUGAUUCUAAGCAUGUCUUUUUAUUUCUAUGCAUUCUUUAUGCUUACUUGGGCAUUUGUUUUUCAAUCUAUAACUUAAGUGUUGAAGCAAAAGUAUUAUGAACCAUUACAUUUUUGUAUUGAAACUAUCUAAAGAUGGCAAAUUUCUCUACUCUUAGAAGAAAAGUCCCUGCUUUGACUAACCCAUAGGUGGAGGAGAAGGAAAUUACUAUUUGUGUUUGCCUAGAAACGUGAACCUAUAUGGAUCUUUCAGGUUUCCGUAAAACUGACAACUCAAAAACUUGCUUUGCUGUAGGAAAUAUGGUAUUCUGUGUAUAAAUAUUUAGAGUCAAGAUCUGAGCACUACGCUACAAUUUCAAAAAUGGUUAAAAUAAGGAUGGCAAAUCUUCAACUUCUGUGAAAACAAACAAGAUAUAGCUUGCUGAACAGGAAACGAACAACUUCAAAUGCCAUAUUACUCAAGAACGGUGCCCUUACUACAGGGAUUUGCUUGCAUUUACUUAAAACAAACCGGUAACAAAGAAUCAUAGAAUGUUAAAGGUAGAAGAUGCCUUAAACUCCAUUUAAUAUUACACCCUCAUGAGACACCUGAGACCUAGAGGGGCCCUGAAAUUCAUUUAUAAAUCGCUUAUUUGGAAGGUGGAGCAGAUUUUCUUAUAGAAAUAUGUGAUAAAUGAUGGGUAGAUGCCAGAAUACAGCCCUUCCCCUCCUUUUAUACAGUCCUGUAUCCUUGAACAGUUUUGUUUUUCUAGUAUUGUUCACUGGGAGUGUAUAACAUUUCAUCUAUAUUCUAGGUUAAUAUGAGUAAUUAACUACUCAUUACAUGUCAACAGGAAGACACAGCCCCCACAGGUGGGCCUAUGAUGCCUCAAUUUAAGACUUCCAACCUUCUGUAAAGAUUGCAAGACACAGAAACUCUUUCCUAACUGGGUUGAACAAUGAAAACAUUCAUGUUUUCAUGUAACUGGAAGUUCAGAGUCAGUUGAACCAGGAGCUCCUGCUCCAUUUCUCUGCCACACCUUUGUGUGUGUUUCUCCCAUUUGUUAACAUCUUCUUUAGGUCAUUUUUCUCAGGUAGCAAAAGGACCGUGGUGGUUCCUGAAUAUUCUGGCAUCUAGAAGAAGAAAGAGAAAACCCCAGUCACAGGAUUCCAAGUAUGAGUCCUGGGACUGAGCUUGAUUGGACCCUCCCCAGCCACUGCCUGAGUGGAACUAAGGAAGCUAGAAUGGCAUCGGGAGGCACACAAGCAUGGGGAUCAGAGAAAGAAAACAGAAAUGUUCUACUUCCUCUAGAUGCCCCAGACCAUAGAUCUCUACUCUCUGCCCCAAAUCCCAGCUACUUAGACCUUUACUCCAGCUUAGCACUUUCAGAUCUCCCACCACCAUUAGAAAGGAAACUAUCAAUAGAAAAAAAUCUAUCCUGCAUCAUUUAGAAGUGGCUACACAGCUUACAUCUUCCUCUCCAUCUCACUUCCUUGUCAAAGGGAAGCAUAAGGGCCCUAGAAAUAGGACUCAUUCUUUAUCCCUGACAACAUGGAUUUAAUGCCAUUGGCUUCUCAGUAUAGUUUGUAAGAAAACGAUGGUGGCUUUGAAUCCACUUUUGAUGGUCUGCCUUUAAUCAUGCACUAAGAAUUGCAAGGUUAACCUUGAGACUAUUUAAAGAAAUUUACAAAGAAAGUGAGAUCAAUACUACUUCCCCAAAAUACAUUCACCCAACUCUACAGAAUAUCCUUGACUUUACUAAUGGUGGUUACAAAGUUCAUUCAUGAGCCAUCAAGCUGUAAAAUAUAAUAAAUAGGCUUACGAUUGGAAAAUAAGCUGGAAUUGGAUUCAUGACAAUCCAUGAAAACACAAAAGUAAAAUAAAGGGUCAAUUACUCAAGCUUUUCAGCAAAAUUGUCCCACAUGAAGAUUGAUUUCAAUCUCACUCCCACUGUAUCCAAGAAUCCCACUUUCUAAAAUGGUGGUUUCCCACUAAAUGACUGGCUCAGAGCCCAGGACUCUAUCUCUAGAACUUUCCACACAAUUCCAAGUAGUGUAACCUUUGCUCAACUGGAAACCUGGAAAUAAACUGUCCUAUUAAGGGUUAAAUUUAAAAUAUCUAAG